rnacentral:rRNA from 1 species
AUUGAACGCUGGCGGCAGGCCUAACACAUGCAAGUCGAGCGGAGCGGCGGACGGGUGAGUAAUGCCUAGGAAUCUGCCUGGUAGUGGGGGAUAACGUCCGGAAACGGGCGCUAAUACCGCAUACUAUCAGAUGAGCCUAGGUCGGAUUAGCUAGUUGGUGGGGUAAAGGCCUACCAAGGCGACGAUCCGUAACUGGUCUGAGAGGAUGAUCAGUCACACUGGAACGUAGACACUGCCCAGAUUCCUACGGGAGGCAGCAGUGGGGAAUAUGGGACAAGGGGCGAAAGCCUGCUCCCGCCAUGGCGCGUGUGUGAAGAAGGUCUGCGGAUUUUAAAGCAUUUUAAGUUGGGAGACGUUACCAACAGAAUAAGCACCGGCUAACUUCGUGCCAGCAGCCGCGGUAAUAC